UUUGUGAUUGUCCAAGGCUUGAAACAUCUCUUCCAGCAUCAGCGCAGGAGGUCAUCAGUGUCUCCACACGAUGUGCAGCAAAUUCAGGCAGAUGCAGAACCUGAAAUGGAACUGGAGAGCCAGAAUGCAUGUGCUGAGAUUGAUGGUGUCCCCACCCACCCCACAGCUCUGAAUUGAGUCCUGCAGCAGAUCCGAGUGCCGCCCAAGAUGAAGAGAGGGACAAGCUUACAUAGUAGGCGGGGCAAGCCAGAGGCCCCAAAGGGAAGUCCCCAGAUCAACAGGAAGUCUGGCCAGGAGAUGGCAACUGUUAUGCAGGCAGGCCAGCCCAGGUCUUAUCCACAACGGAUGCUCCGACCAGCUCAGCGCUGAUGGAAAUAGCUUGUGCUGCUGCUGCGUAUGUACCAGGAGAGGAGACGACCGCAGAGCGGAUUGAGCGGCUGGAAGUAAGCAACCUUGCCCAGACUUCUAGUGCAGUGGCCUCUAGCACCGAUGGUAGCAUCCACACAGACUCCGUGGAUGGAACACCAGACCCUCAGCGCACAAAGGCUGCUAUUGCUCAUUUGCAGCAGAAGAUCUUUAAGCUCACAGAACAGAUCAAGAUUGCCCAAACAGCCCGGGAUGACAAUGUUGCUGAGUAUUUGAAACUUGCCAACAGCGCAGACAAACAGCAGGCUGCCCGCAUCAAGCAGGUCUUUGAGAAGAAGAAUCAAAAAUCUGCCCAAACCAUCCUCCAGCUACAAAAGAAACUCGAGCAUUACCAUCGGAAGCUCCGGGAGGUAGAGCAGAAUGGGAUUCCCCGGCAGCCAAAGGAUGUCUUCAGGGACAUGCACCAGGGUCUGAAAGAUGUGGGAGCCAAAGUGACUGGCUUCAGUGAGGGUGUAGUGGACAGUGUCAAAGGUGGACUUUCCAGCUUCUCCCAAACCACCCAUUCAGCAGCAGGAGCUGUGGUCUCAAAACCCAGAGAGAUUGCCUCACUGAUUCGAAACAAAUUUGGUAGUGCAGACAACAUCUCUAACUUGAAGGACUCUUUAGAGGAAGGGCAAGUCGAAGACGGGGGGAAGACUUUGGGAGUGAUUUCGAACUUUCAGUCGAGCCCAAAAUACGGUAGUGAGGAAGAUUGUUCUAGUGCCACUUCAGGCUCAGUGGGAGCCAACAGCACCACUGGGGGCAUCGCUGUAGGAGCAUCCCGCUCCAAAACAAACACCCUAGACAUGCAGAGCUCAGGAUUUGAUGCACUACUACAUGAGAUCCAGGAGAUCCAGGAAACCCAAGCAAGACUCGAGGAAUCCUUUGAGUCGCUCAAGGAACACUAUCAGAGGGACUAUUCCUUAAUCAUGCAGGCCUUACAGGAGGAGCGAUAUAGAUGUGAACGAUUAGAGGAACAACUAAAUGACCUAACAGAGCUCCACCAGAAUGAAAUCUUGAACUUGAAGCAGGAAUUGGCCAGCAUGGAGGAGAAAAUCGCUUAUCAGUCCUAUGAACGAGCCCGGGACAUCCAGGAGGCCCUGGAGGCAUGCCAGACUCGCAUCUCCAAGAUGGAGCUACAGCAGCAGCAGCAGCAGGUGGUCCAACUGGAAGGGCUGGAGAACGCCACUGCCAGGAACCUUCUGGGCAAACUCAUCAACAUCCUUCUUGCCGUGAUGGCAGUCCUUUUAGUCUUUGUCUCCGCAGUGGCCAACUGUGUGGUUCCCCUCAUGAAGACUCAUAGCAGGACGUUCAGCACUUUAUUCCUUGUGGUUUUCAUUGCCUUUCUCUGGAAGCACUGGGAUGCCCUCUUUAGCUACGUGGAACGGUUCUUUUCAUCCCCCAGAUGAUGCUGGCACACGAAGGCAGCUGCUCACCUAGCUCUGGUGAGUGCAGGCAGCAAAGAACAAGACAACUUAACCUACUCUGAGGUUUUCUACAACAGCAAAAGAGUUAAGUGAAUCUGUUUACAUUUAGAAUAAUGUUUUUUUCUUCAAGAGACACAAUUGCAAUAGUAUUUUUUAGAUUUUAUCCAAGAACUUUUUUGGGCGAAAAUCUUGGAUCAUUUUUAUGUAGCAUGAUUUUCCUUGGGAUGCAAAUCUUAAACAGUCCUUUAACAUGAACAACCAAUCUGGAGCACUGAAGGGCACUCUAAAUUGUGACUUGAAUGACUGCACUCAAAACCCACUGAAAAUUGAGAAACGUGAAUAGGGCAGAGCACUGAAACCGAGCAUCCUGCCGUGUCGGCCUCACCACAUCGCCCCUUCCGAAACGAACUGUACUGUGAAGUCCUACCACAUUUCAUAUCUGAAUUGUUGGAUUCAGGGUGGAUUUUCCUUGUCCGUGGAAGAAAACAUGGAUCUCCCAACUCACCCAAGUUGACCCCUCAUGCUAAUAACCUUGGAAGUCUGGUCACUUUUGAACCUGAUCCUUUAACCUUUGCUAGGUCACAGAAGUGAGAGCAUCGUGCCCCCACAGGAUCACUGCACAGUCCUACCACAGUAUUUUGAAGUAGCCCUUUAAAUACUUAAUUUUAUGCAAAAUCCUUUGGCCGCACUUUUAAGGUUUGGUUUUGUUUUUAAUAUGUGUAUAGUCACCAAUUUAACAACAAAAAAUCUGAA